UGCCAGCCGCCGCGGUAAUACGGAGGAUCCAAGCGUUAUCCGGAAUUAUUGGGUUUAAAGGGUCCGCAGGCUGUUUGUUAAGUCAGGGGUGAAAUCCUACCGAUCAACGGUAGAACCGCCUUUGAUACUGCCAGACUUGAGUUAUUGUGAAGUAGUUAGAAUGUGUAGUGUAGCGGUGAAAUGCAUAGAUAUUACACAGAAUACCGAUUGCGAAAGCAGAUUACUAACAAUAUACUGACGCUGAGGGACUAAAGCGUGGGUAGAGAACAGGAUUAGAUA
rnacentral:rRNA from 1 species